CUUGCCUUCAUAUUCAUCCCUUUUCUCCAAUUUCCACUUCAAUAAUUUAUCAUAAUUUCUUUCGAUUUUCACUCAAACAUCAAUCAAUCAUCAUGUUCAACUUCAAUUCAUGGCGCCACAAAUCCCUUCUCUACUUCAAGAUUGUAACUUUCUCACCAAUAUCCCAAAACCCAUUACCCCUAUCUCUCUAUUUCUGCACCAACACUUCUCAUUCAACCUCUUUUGCAGUUUCAUACCUCAUCCACAAUUUUGGCUUCUCCCCACUAUUUGCUAACAAACUUUGCUCCACUUACAGUGUUAAAUUUAAGACCAACCAAAACCCUGAUUUAGUUCUCACAUUCUUUAGAAACCAUGGUUUCUCAGAUUCCCAACUACGUGAUACCAUUGCUAAGGCACCGUGGCUGCUUACCUGUGACCCCAUCAAAAGGGUGUUGCCAAAGUUUCAAUUUUUUCUCUCCAAAGGUGCUUCUAACUCCGACAUUGUUAACCUUGUCAGUAUGAACCCUAUGGUGCUCUGUUCAAGUCUGGAGAAUCAAAUAGUCCCAACCUAUGAAUUGGUUUAUAGGUUUUUGAAAUCUCACAAGGACACUAUUGCUUGUGUAAAUCAUAAUUCAACUUUCUUUGGAGACAGGCGUGUGGCAUCUAACAUCAGAUUAUUGACUGAGAAUGGAGUGGCAGACUCUAACAUUGCAAGAAUGCUUAAGACCCAUUGUCGGACAUUGCAGACACGUGACAUGCUGAAGUUGGUGGAGGAAUUAAAGGAUUUGGGUUUCAAUCCUUCAAAAGCAACUUUUGGUGUAGCAUUGAAUGCCAAAACAACUGUACCCGAAGCCCGGUGGAAAGAGAAAGUUGAUACCCUUAAGAAGUGGGGUUGGUCUGAUGAAGAUGUUCUGGUAGCAUUUAGAACGCAGCCUUACUGUAUGUUAGUAUCCAUUGAUAAAAUUAAUUUAGUGAUGAAUUUUUGGAUCAAUCAGUUGGGUUGGGAUGCUAUGGCCCUUGUCAAAGGAUCCUCAGUUUUUUUGUUAAGUUUGGAAAAAAGGAUCAUUCCAAGGGCCCAAGUAGUGCAAUAUCUGCUGAAGAAAGGUUUGCGAAAAAAGACUGCAAGCAUGAUUUAUCCAUUUGUAAUGUCCGAUAAGUUGUUUCUUGAUAUGUUUAUAAAACGUUUUGAGGAGUCCUCUUAUCUAUUAAAGCUGUAUGAGGAAAAAUUAAAUCUUGCAUACACCACGGACAAAACUUGCUUGUCAUGAUAUCAUGAUUAGAUUUUCAGGACAUAUCUAGAGCUAUAAAAAUUGGAUUUUGGUGAUCUUUGUACCCUUGAAAAGCUAAGACAGAGUACUACAAUUUUGUUUUUCAGACUUAAUCAGAUUUGGCAUAAAUCAAGGUUGGGUCGUUGAUGUCACAAGCCCAACACCUCUCCUCAUAUAAUUGGCCAUAACUCACUCAUCUUAGACUCAAUUAAGGUUUAUAAUAGCAUUUUAGAAAGCUAAUUCAGAGGGGCACGUUAGGGAUCAUGAAAAUACUCAGUCAGUCUACUUUGAGAAGGAGAAAAGAAAAGGUUUGAAGGCAGAUACGAAAAAGGGGGAUAAAAGGAGAAGAUUGGGAGAGCUUUUCUCUUGUAGCUUAUACUUCAUCUAAGUUUUCAAUUUUUUCUCUCUUUUGUAAUUUGUAACUCCAUGAGUUCUCUCAUAUCAAUGGAGAGCUAAACCUUCUUAAUCGAUCAUUGGGUGUAGAUAUUAUUGAGGUUUAAUUUAUGAACCUUACUUUAUUUAAUUUGUUCAUAGUGAA